CAUAAGCUCGUAGAGGCUAUCCCACGCGUAAGCCCGUGGAGGCUAUCCUACGCAUAAGCUCGUAGAGGCUAUCCCACGCAUAAGCUCGUGGCAGCUAUCCUACGCAUAAGCUCGUAGAGGCUAUCUCAUGAUAAGAUUAGUCCAACCCAUUUUACAUGUGUAGUUUUACAUGUUUAAUCACAUUUCCAUCACAUCACAUAUUUUCAUAAAUUCUCAAAAAUAUGUUAAUUCUUCCUAAUUUAAUUACUUCAAUAUUUCCAUAGCAAUCAAAAUGCACAUCUCAUAUGUGUCAUACAAGCUCAUAAAAUUAAUAUCAACAUACUGAUAAAUUAUAACCAACGAUAAAUUUCAUACAUGCAUAAAUAGA
rnacentral:lncRNA from 1 species